rnacentral:lncRNA from 10 species
GCUGUGAGGGCUGCCAGCACGCUGUCACCUUUCAUUAGGACCUGCUAAUUGGUUUCACAUGUGUGUGGAACCAUCCCAGGACUGGAUUCCAAUAUGAGGAGAGAAAUGGGUUAUUUCACUGAAAGGUAUGACUGAGUUAGACUGAAGAAACUCUUAUAUGACACUGUACUAUGGCUUUAAUGAGCAUUAGUGUUAGGAUGACAUUUUGUUUAGAGAGAUAUUGAUGGUAAAAAAGAAAAGGAUUUGAACUCCAGUUCACCAUUUCCUAAGCAUGACCUUGAGCUAUUCAUUCACUCUAUGUAGUCAUUUAAUAAAUAUUUAUUGAGCCCUAUAUAGGCCAAGCACUCUGUGAGGUGAUGGAAAUUCUCCUGCCCUCAAAAAGUAACAGUAAUUAUUAUUUGCAAUCUACCUCCCUAAGGCAUAACAAUGCCUAUCUUUCAGAGUUAUGUGUAAUAGGAUUUGUAAGUGGAUUUUUUUUUGUCUCAUAAUUGUCUACUUGGCUCCAAAGUUAGAGACAAAUAGGUGAAAAUUAGGAGACAAAUAGAUGAUUGGUAAACACCAGUCAUUAAGAGGCAAAUUCAUUCUGCUACUCCGCUUACCACUGUACUCACUAAUCUUGAGGGGACUACUGAAUUGUAAAUCUUCAGCCUCAGAAAGGGUUCUGUGUCUUUUCCUUUUACUCUUUCUCAGUGCCCCUUAUGCAUAAUCCAAUGGAGUAUUCCAAGGAAAAUAUUUUUAAUGACUGGGGGUUGCCUGCAAUAAGUUGAGCCUGAAAUCUCAUUUUUCAGUUGGAUACCUACUCAUGUCAUGGAUCUGUAGUAUUCUUUUUGCUUACUCCAGCAGUAGGAAAUAAUAUAGGGACAGAACUCAAGAGAGAGAAAAUGAGCAAUAGGGCAAUGAGGCACACUCCCAUUGUCUGGUAGAAAAAAGAUGCAUGAGUCUUCCAUAUGUCAAGUAGAUACUACAAAGGUACCAGGCUUGAACUAUUGUGAAGCAAGUUCAUCCUAGACUGUGACUUACUAAGAGAAGAGACCCCAGCAGCAAAAGCCUGUAAGGUGAGUUAUGCAGGAAAUAAGGAGACUGGAAGAGGUCUACAGGAGUCGAUUUCCUAUGAAAGGAGGUUGUGCAAUGAAGAGACUGCCUGCUACAUGGAGGACAGAGGUCACAACAACAACUGGCUGGAGCAGUGGAAAGAGAACUAUGCACAAGGAUGAGGAGAAUAAUUGUGAUUGUGGGACAGGGCCCCAGGAGAGAGGUAUAGCAGACUGGCCUUGGAAAGCCUGCAGCUGCAUCAGGAAGGCAAAGCAUGCUUGGAAAAAAUGCUGACUGAAGUAAGGCAGAACCUAGAGGGUGGGUGGAUACUCCAUAACUGUAUUCAAAUUGGGCACUCUCUUGUUGUAAAGCCUUUGCGUAAGUGCAACUGAGAAAAUAUAUGGUAGAAAAAAAAGGCUAUGUUCUGACCAGCUCGAGGAUGGGGGAAUAUCAUGCAUAAUAUGUGCAAACUAUGUGAAGAAAAGUACAAGUUAAUAUGAUCACAAAAAUAUUCAGAAAAACACAGAGUGAAGGAGGUAAGACAAGAGGUAAUGAAAUAAUUAGUGAAGUAUGGGCUCCUGUGCAAGGGAAUAUCUUGAGACAGAUUUUUGAAGAGAAGUUAGAUGUGGGCUGAUGAAGAGGAACUGUCACUCCACAUUGAGGGAGUGGUCUCUGCAAAGGUGGUAGCUUAGCUUGGGUUCCUAAGAAAAGAGUCUGAGGUUAAUCUUAUGAGCACAUGCUUUAUUGUAGAGUACAAGUCCAGAGAAGCAAGUGUGACAAAAAAGGAAGGAUAGGAAACAAAAAGUCAUGUUAUUGAGCUCUGGUUAUAGGAAAUUUAAAUGGUUACUCAGUUACACUGAACAUCUCCAGAGAGAUUCAUGAAUUCACGGCACCUUAGAAAAAUUCUUUGGUGGAAAGAAGGGCAAACAAUCUAUCUACUGGCUUCUUUCCAUCUCCUGUUUCUCAUGCUUACUUGACCUAACAAAGUGUUAACUUGCACAUCUUCCCUCCAGACAGCUGCUGGGUUAGUAACUAACUCCAACUUAGUUACUGGAGCUGCUGCUGUUUCUGCUGUGAUGAGAGGUAUGGAGGCCAUGUCAAAGCCUGGCUUUUUCUCCCCAGGAUUUGCAGGGAAGGCUGCAAAAACCAGGGUGAGAGAUGCUGAGUCUUCUGAGUUUUAUGACCAUUGGAAUGGCAUGAGUCAAUCAACCAUUGCUGAGCUCCUCUGAUCAGGACUCUGGGCAAGCAACAGUCUGGGGCUGAGGGUAGAUGAGGCCCAGGAGGAUCUGAGGAAAUGUCCAAGAUAGGUCUGGAAGAGUGAGGAAAAUGGAUGAUGAAAACUUAGCAUGUCUAGAAGGAGUGAGGUCUCAACAAAUGUGUAACUUAGUGUAUGUAGUAUUGGAGUGACGUUCUAGGAAUGGCCAAAAGCUAGGAUUCCAUAGGCUGAUUUGAAUGAAUUUGAGAUGUGUGCCCAUUUUGUUGUGCUUAUUAUGGCUGAUCCUGUAGUUUUAGCAAUUCAGUGAUCAUCUCAACUUUCUUCCUAAACAGCUGAGCCUGGAAAGCUAAAACUAACACUUUUCAGACUUCAAUGAAAUUACUGUUCUGAAUAUGAUUCAGGUUCUACCAAAGAGAUGUAUUCAUGAGAACUGAAUUUAGAACUGAAGGAAGUGGGGAGAGAAGCAUGAGCUGUGAUGGUAGUAGCUGCUGGGUAAGUGGCCAGCAGCCACUAUGGUACUUCCUAUCAUGGCAGAGACAACUGGUCUCAGAGGUGCCCAGUUGUGUCUUGUGGCUUUGGACAUUUCUCCUGGAUGCUCAACCUAGAGACUGUUUAUCUCUCAAGUGAUUUGUAAACCUUUUAAUGCUCUGUGAAAAAAAAAUUUAAUCCCUUUUGCCUAAACCAGCUAGAGUGGAUUCUAUUCUGAGGAAAUGACCAUAUUUUAAAGGUUUGCUGGAGAAGUCUGGAUGGGGGGUGGAGAGAAAGAAAUAUAAAAAUAGAGAUAGAAAUAGCUAAAUGGAGGGUAGAGAUAUUAAUUCCGGCUCUUAGAUGGUGGGCAACUCACUACCCACAAUUAUUAAAUCUGAUUUUUCCUCUCAGCACACAUUCAUAUAGAUACCAUGUAUGAAGAAUACAGGAGAACCCUGAAGGUAUCCAAAUGAAAUUGACUUCCCAGUCAUCAUUAAACAUUUAAAGAACUUCAACAAAACAUGCUCCAUGUUAAGGACUUUAGCACCUAAAAAUAAGGAAAGAUGCAGCUUUUGAUUUUAAACAUUUAUUGUUUUCAAGGGAAAGCCUUCUGUAUCCCUGCACACUUUAAGCAGGUAAAUGUUAGAUUGCUGCAUCAGCUCCUGGACUCUGCAUAACUUCUGAUGUCCUUCUGGUAAACCUUGAUCCCUUAUUGCAUCAUGUGACCUCCUCUCCCCCAGCUCUAGCUCUGCCUAGCCGGUAAGUAAAAGGUUAUUUUCAAGAAGCUGCAGUUAGAUAAGUAAAUAACAACUUGUACCUAAUUUCAUAUUUUAUCUGAAGGUGUGCGGAAGGUAAUACACCCAGAAACAUUAAAUAACUGGUUUACAUCUAAACGGUUUUUGACUAAAACCUUAAAGCUAGACCUAUCAAAGGGCUCAACAGAAUAAAAAGUGUUUCCCUUUGAAGAAUUCUGUGUCCUUAGAAGGCAUUUAGGUUAUGGUAGAAAUGGGUUUUCUUUCAAUAACUUUAAGAGGAAAAAUUACUUAAGACUGGUAACUUAAGACUGACACUAUGUGAAAGAAGCAAAGGUGACAUUUGAAGUAAUCAAUUAUCAGAGGCUUUUUAAUAACAUUCCAGUGACCAGUCUUGAUGUCUUGAUAUUUCUCACCAAAAGCAAGGAUAGUUAUUUGCGGAAAUCUCAACCCAAAGUAAACUUAUAUUGGCUAUGCUGAAAUAAUUUAAAAGAUAUGAACUGUUUUCUACAUCCGUACUAUUUUAAGUGUCAUCAGCAACAUUCAUAUUACCCAGGAAACUGUUAGAAAUUCAGUCUUAGGCCCCACCCUAGACUUACUGAAUCAAUAUCUGCAUUUUGACAUUGCCAGGUCAUUUUUAAGCACAUUAGAGUUUCUAAUGUCCUGUUCUAGAUGCUGUAAAAUUAUUCAUAAGGUCACUUGUUGAAAUGAUUGCAUUCAGCACUUAAAUAUGUUAUGGACAAUGUCCAUUAAGGAUCAGCAAAUACUUAUUUGUGUCCAUAUUAGUGAUAUUAUUAUAUGAGUUUUUAAUUUAUGUUAUAUGGGUUAUUAAUUUAGUCAAUGUUUCUUGUUCUAAUAAAGGGCUCUGAUUUUAAACCAUUUUAUCCAAUGGUUUUCUUGAGCUUCCUAAAGUGGUAAACAGUCUCUGUUUUCUUCUUAUAUGUUCUUGUAGCUAAUUGUUUUAAUCAUCUUUUUGUUGUUACUUCAGCCUCAGUGAUGGGUUACUAUUUAAGGAUUCUCUAAAAGCCUUCUAAUAUACCCUCAAUGUGGUUCUGGCAGACUCUGUCUACCUGACAGCCAUUUCCACAUUCUCCUUUGUUUACAGAGCCACAGUUUGGUUGUGUUGUAGUGUUUUUAUUCCUAGUCUAAGAAAAUCAUGAUGAUCUUAUGUUCCUUUGCCAUAUACUUAAUUUUUCAUUUUUGUUUAUAGCUGAGGGUGAUCACAUGACUGAGAUCUGACCAAAAUGGGGUUUAAGUAGAGGCUUAUGAGAAAGUCUUUGUUCCAUAAUAAAACAGACAGGGAUGAAAAAGAUAGCUUAUUGGCUCCUGUGAUCCUUUCUUUCAGCCUACACACAGACAGGAUGCUUGGUGCUAUGACAGCCAUCUUGAAGCCAUGAAAUCAUAAAAACAAGGACAAAAAGUCAACUUACUGAGAAUGGUAGAGAGGAAGAAUAGAAAGACCCAAUUCCUAGUGACAGCAUUAAGUCACUACUUAUGUCCUGAACUCUGUAUCCAGAGUUCAGAUUUUGUAAAAACAAAGCAAAAAAGAAAACAGAAACAACCCUAUCUAUUUAUGUUAUUAUUAAUUUACUUUGUUAUUUGCUGCUGAAAGCGUUCCUAACUGGUAUAAAUAAGAAGGACUAAAGAACUUACCCUCGUCAGAGAUUUACUCUGUAAGUGAGCAUGGUUGUUGAAUAUGUGACCAGUCUAAGUAGUGAGGCAACACAGAGUGGAAGAAUAUCUGGAUUUUGUUAUUGGCUCCUGUACUUCUCAGCUGUGUACAAAGCAAACCUUGCUUUACAGGAACUUUGGCUCUCUAUUUACAAGCAGUCCCUGGAAAGUAAUACAGUGGAGGAGGACCCCCAUGAUUACAUUCUGCGAGAGGAGUUCCUAAGCAUUGCAGCAUGAAAAACAGUGCUUAAAAGCUUAAGCAAUAUUUUUCAAAAUAUUGACCUAUCUCAGUAGGAACUGAGAUAGGCAACAAAUCUGACUGACAGAAUACAUUUCAAACUUUCAAAAUUGUGUCUUCCUCUUACUGUGGGUCCUUACCCCUGAACAAAGUUCAUCACACCUGGCUUCACGUUGCAGGGUAUAUUUUUUUGAUGCCUGCCUUAUCUGGCUUCCAGUCAUGCCCUGGAAUUUGAGUGUCUCUCAAAUGUAAAAAUCAAAAAGUAUAUUGUAAAAAUGUCUAUACUAUGCAAAGUAAUAUACAGAUUCAAUGCAAUUUCUAUCAAGAUUCCAAUGACAUUUUUCACAGAAAUAGAAAAAAAUCUAAAAUUUAUAUGAAAACAUCAAAGACAUCAAAUAGCCAAAACAAUCUUGAACAAAAAGAACAAAGCUGGAAGCAUUACACUAUUUGAUUUCAAAAUGUACUGCAAAGCUAUAGCAAUCAAAACAACAUGGUACUGGCACAAAAACAGAAAUAUGGACCAAUGAAAUUGAACAGAGAGCCCAGAAAUAAAUUCACCCAUUUACAGUUAACUGAUCUUCAACAAAAGUGCCAAGAUCAUACAACUGAGAAAGGACAGUCUCUUCAAUAAAUGGUGCUGGAAAAACUUGAUAUCCACAUGCAGAAGAAUGAAAUUGGACCCUUAUUUCAUCCCAUAUACAAAAAUCAACAUAAAAUGGAUUAAAGACUUAAAUGUAAGACCAGAAACUAUAAAACUAUUAGAAGAAAACCUAGAGACAUUGACAUUGGUCUUGGCAAAGAUUUUUUGGAUAUGACCCCAAAAGCACAGGCAGCAAAAGCAAAACUAGACAAAUGGAAUUACAUCAAACCAAAAAAAUAGCUUCACAGCAAAAGAAGCAAUCAACAGAGUGAAGAGAAAACCUAUGCAAUGGGAGAAAAUAUAUGUAAAUCAUACAUGAAAUAAGGAACUAAUAUCCAAAAUAUAUAAGAAAUUCAAACAUCUGAACAGCAAAAAAAAAAAAAAAAAGAAAAUUUAAAAAUGGGCAAAAGAUCUGAACAGACAUUUCUGCAAACAGAAUGUAUGAAAGGCCAACAGGUAUAUGAAGAGAUGCUCAACAUCACUAAUCAUUGGAGAAAUGCAAAUUAAAACCACAAUUAGAUAUCUAUCAUCUCACCUCUCUAAGAUAAGCAUUUGCAAAAAUGUGGAGAAAAGAGGACCCUUGCACGCAGUUGGUGGAAAUGUACAUUAGUAUAGCCUCAUGGAAAAUAGUAUGGAGGUUCCUCAAAAAAUUAAAAAUAGGACUACCAUAUGAUCCAGCAAUCUCACUUCUGAAUAUGUAUCCAAAGGAAAUGAAAUCAGUAUGGUAAAAAGAUAUCUGCAUUCCCAUAUUCAUUGCAACAUUACUUGCAAUAGCCAAGAUAGGGAAUCAACUGAUGAAUGAAUAAAGAAAAUGUGGUAUACAUAAUAUAAUGGAAUACCAUUUUGCCUUAAAAAGGAGGAAAUCGGGUCAUCUGCAACAAGCUAAGUGAAAAAAACCAGGCACAGAAGGACAAAUACUGUAUGAUCUCACUUACAUGUGGAAUUUAAAAAAGUUUAACUCAUAGAAGCAAAGGGUAGAAUAGUGGUUGCCAGGGACUGGGGCUAGGGGUGGGAGCAGGGAAUGGGGAGUUAUGGUCAAAGACUACAAAGUUUCAAAUAGACAGGAGGAAUAAGAUCUGGUGAACUAUAGUACAGCAUGUGACUAUAGUUAAUAAUAUUGUAUUGUACACUUGAAAGUUGCUAAGAGAGUAGAUUUAAAUGUUCUCAUCACCAAAAAUGAUAAAUAUAUGCAGAAGUGACAGAUAUAUUAAUUUGAUUUAAUUGUUCCACUGUGUAUACAUAUAUCAAAACAUCAUGUUAUACACCAUACAUAUAUACAAUUUUUCACCUUGCCAAUUAGAAAUAAAAAUUAUUCAUAUAAAAUAAAAAUAAAAAUAAAAAAUAAAAUUCAAAUUCAUAACCCAAAUUUCCCUAGACCUCUGCUUCCUCUGCAUAUAACAUGUUUGAGUCUCGCCUAAACUCAAAUUGGACCUCCACAGUCUUAGCAAAACUCUUUUAGAAAGUGCAAUAAUAUUUCUUAAUAAUCUGUCCCAGGUUAUCACUUUCCAUAAGAAUAUCCUUUUUUGAGUUCUCCUUGAAACCAUAGUUCAAAACAAAUGUGUUUGUUCUUGCAUUAUUUUUGGUAGAGAGAAGAACUAUGUGAUAAGAUAAACCUUAAGAUAAAUCCAUGUCUAUUGGGGAUAAAAGUUUUCAGUUAUUCUGCUCUUCACAAACUAACCCUAGUUCCUCUAAUCUUAAAGGUUUUAGCUUUCAACUUUUAGUUAUUUGAAUUUUGGGGGAAAGAUCUCACAUCAAUUUCUCCAUGUUAAGAUUUAAAUAACCAAACUGGAAGUUAAGUUUUUUUUUCUUUUUUGACAGAGUCUAGCUCUGUCGCCCAGGCUGGAGUGCAGUGGUGCGAUCUGGGCUCACUGCCAGCUCCGCCUCCCGGGUUCACGCCAUUCUCCUGCCUCAGCCUCCCCAGUAGCUGGGACUACAGGCGCCCACCACCACGUCCGGCUAAUUUUUUGUAUUUUUAGUAGAGACGGGGUUUCACCGUGUUAGCCAGGAUGGUCUCGAUCUCCCGACCUCAUAAUCCGCCUGCCUCGGCCUCCCAAAGUGCUGGGAUUACAAGCGUGAGCCACCGCGCCGUGCCUGGAAAUGAAUUUUUUACACACCAAGUGAAAAUAAGUGGUAUACAUUUUCACAGGAAAUUUUCCCACAAUAAAAUUUCUAGAUGGAAGUUCAAGUCCUUGUGCCUGAGCUCCUUAGAUUAAAAAGCAUAGCAGUUAUUUAACACUCUUUUAAAAAAGAAAGUAUGAAGACAUGGUGAAACUAUUUUGCUUAUCACAUUGACAUUCCUUUGAGAAGAAAGAAAGAAAAUGACAUGUGGUUGGGAAUUCUUCAGUUUAGCCCUAUAGAGAUUUUUAAAAAUGUUUUAACUUUCAAAGGCGCUUUUAUAGAGCUAUAAAAUUGCCUGUCUCCUCUCCAGGCUAUGCUGUACACAAAUGCAAUUCUAAUUUUUAUCGAAUGCUACUUUGAUCAUUCAGCUGCUUGAUCAAAAUCAAUAAUGACUUAUGGUGUUUCAGAUCAUGUCUAUACUUUUCAAGACCCUUAAUAAUCUGCCUCCAUCCUACCUAUCCUACAUUCUAUUUCACAUUUCCCUAUAAUAAUCUUUGUUAUUACCUUACUGCCUUUCUCUGUCCCUGUCAACUGCAACACAUAAGGGUUUGUAUAUAAAACAUGCACACACACACACACACAUACACACACACACACACAUUUCAUGCAUAUUCUGGCCUUGGGACUUUUACUUAUGCGUUUUUCCUUUUCUGAUGUCUACGUAUGUAUAGUUUUUCUCUUAGCAACAUCUAAACUUCUUUAAAAGUCACCACAAAUUCUACUUUCUUCCAAGAAGCUCCCCGAUGACCGUAACCUACAUUAUCCAUCCACUUUUUUUUUUUUUUUUUUGGUAGGGUCUUGCUCUGUUUCCCAGGCUAGAGUGCAGUGGUAUGAUCACAGCUCACUGCAGCCUUGGCCUCCUGGGCUCAAGCAAUCCUCCCACUUCAGCCUCCCAAGUAGCUGGAACCACAGGCUCAUGCCAACAUGCCCAGCUAAUUUUUAUUUAUUUAUUUUUUCAUUUAUUUUGUAGAGAUAAGAUCUUGCUGUGUUGCCCAGGCUGGUCUCAAGACUCCUGGCUCAAAUGAUCCUCCCACUUCGGCCUCCCAAAGUGCUGGGAUUAAAGGCAUGAGCCACCACUCCUAGGCCACUUUCUUAUUCCUGUUACUUAUUUAGGGUGACACUGUCCAAGACUUGCCUAAAUACCAUUUUAUAGUGUUUCUUUUUUAAUGAACAUAUAAACUGUGUUGUGAUCUUUUGUUUGUUUGUUUGUUUGUUUUUAUUAUUAUUAUUAUACUUUAAGUUUUAGGGUACAUGUGCACAAUGUGCAGGUUAGUUACAUAUGUAUACAUGUGCCAUGCUGGUGUGCUGCACCCAUUAACUCGUCAUUUAGCAUUAGGUAUAUCUCCUAAUGCUAACUCUCCCCCCUCCCCCCACCCCACAACAGGCCCCAGAGUGUGAUGUUCCCCUUCCUGUGUCCAUGUGUUCUCAUUGUUCAGUUCCCAUCUAUGAGUGAGAACAUGCGGUGUUUGGUUUUUUGUCCUUGCAAUAGUUUACUGAGAAUGAUGAUUUCCAGUUUCAUUCAUG